rnacentral:RNase_P_RNA from 1 species
GCAGCGUAGCGGGUAACGCCCGCCGCCAGCAAACUAGGGACAGCGGCCAGUUUUCAUAAUUAUGAUAAACUGGAAAACUGGCCGCUGUCCCUAGUUUGCGGCAGGAUCAGAGUCACAGAGACCAAUGCCGGAUAAUGCCGGAGUGAAAAGAGACAAUCUCUACGCGGAGCAAGACCAAAUAGGUCCAGCUUAAAGAGCUGCCCGCUCGCAACAGCUGGACGGGUAGGUUGCAUGAUCCUGGCAGCAAUGCCAGAAUACAGAUAGAUGACUGUUGCAAUUAGCGCUUCGCGCUGAUUGACAGAACCCGGCUUACAGGCUUGCGCCUAUG